rnacentral:rRNA from 1 species
UGAAGGCUGAAAUUCGCCUUCAUGAAGCCGGAAUUGCUAGUAAUGGCAGGUCAGCAUACUGCCGUGAAUACGUUCCCGGGCCUUGUACACACCGCCCGUCACACCAUGAGAGUUGGGGAUACCCGAAGCCUGUGAGCUAACUUUAUAAGGAGCAGCAGUCGAAGGUAGAAUCAAUGAUUGGGGUGAAGUCGUAACAAGGUAAC